rnacentral:misc_RNA from 1 species
AACGAGGCCGACCUGCGGCUGAGUUACCUGCGGAGGGAUCAUUACCAAUUCAGGCUGUGGGUGCGGCUCCUGCGUCCAACGCGGGCGGUUUCGCCCCACACGUCCGAACCCUUUCUUUUAUGAGCACCUCUUGUUCUCCCUCGGUGGGGUAACCUGCCGUCGGAACUUUUAAAACUCUUUUGCAUUUAGUAUUACCUGUUCUGAUAAAAACAAUCGUUACAACUUUCAACAAUGGAUCUC